rnacentral:rRNA from 1 species
GACGUAGGGCGCGAGCGUUGUCCGGAUUUAUUGGGUGUAAAGAGCUCGUAGGCGGCUUGUCGCGUCGACUGUGAAAACCCGCGGCUCAACCGUGUGGUCUGCAGUCGAUACGGGCAGGCUAGAGUUCGGUAGGGGAUGGUGGAAUUCCCAGUGUAGCGGUGAAAUGCGUAGAUAUCUGGAUGAACACCGAUGGCGAAGGCGGCGUUCUGGACUGCAACUGACACUGAGGAACGAAAGCCAGGGGAGCAAACGGG